UCGUGUCGUGAGAUGUUGGGUUAAGUCCCGCAACGAGCGCAACCCUCACCUCUUGUUGCCAACAGGUCAUGCUGGGCACUCUAGAGGAACUGCCCCGGUCAACGGGGAGGAAGGCGGGGAUGACGUCAAGUCAUCAUGCCCCUUACGUCCUGGGCUACACACGUGCUACAAUGGCCGGUACAAAGGGAUGCGAGACCGCGAGGUGGAGCUAAUCCCAAAAAGCUGGUCUAAGUUCAGAUUGCAGUCUGCAACUCGACUGCAUGAAGGAGGAAUCGCUAGUAAUCGC
rnacentral:rRNA from 1 species